CUGAGAGUUGUGCCUCCGCAGACACUAUGGGGGCUCUGGCUGGGGCGACGGGGUCAGCUUCUCUGCUGACAAGAACUCAGUCUCCUUAGGACUUGCUGGGGUUUCGGCUUCAGGACAAAGUGGGGCUGCGUCCACGCUGACGGGAGCUGGGUUUCCUGACGACCCAGACGACGCUGGGAGGAAAAGACCCAUUUAUUCUCUAGUUCUGCCCACAUGGAGACACCCUCCUUGAAAAGGCGUUAAAUCCUUCCGUUCACUUUAACACCUUGUGCUGAAAACACGUGUUCCAAGUUUUCAGCUAUGAGAUCCACAUUCUUAAAGCACUAAUCUAGAUUUCUCCCCCCGGAUGGGGGGAGAUCACCCAAACACAGCAAAGAACAGCUCAGGACUGUGAGCUCUGCUCGCCCAGAAGACUUUGCAGCUCCCCUGACCAGCCGGCUGGAGCCAGGAUUAGGGCCUUGAGACAGGAGAACCUGCUGGGCUGCCGCCACUGCCACCGGCCCCCUAACUCCUGUCCUCUUCACUGGCUUGCUGUCACCUCUAGUUUCCCUGGAGUUUGGGGAUUCCAGACGGUCUCUGCUCACACUUCUGCAUCACACCUGCUGCCUCAGCACUGAUGAUCCACACCAAGGGGGAAAAGCACACAGAACGGCUUUUCAGCACACCAACGUUCCACACAAAAGUUAUUUUAUAAGCCUGCAGGUUCUUUUUCAUCAGAGGACAUUCCCAAGGCCAUGACUUCCUCCGGCUCCCCACUGCCCUUGCCGGCAGACUGGACGUGCGUGGCCGUGGCCACGGUGCUGAGUCGGGCACACCUCCCUGGCUCCACUCAGGCUCACUGUCCUGGAGAACUGAGGGCAGUGCCCUGGGCUCAUCAGCAGGAUCUGACCUGAAGCCAGUCCGAGAGUGACAAGAGCCACACCUGCAGGUCUGUUCCACUGACCAGCCGCACAGGAACAAGCUGGGCCUACGGACCUUGGUCUGGAUUGUGUUGGCUGGUCAUUCUUGCCUAGGUUCACAGACCAACAGCCAGUGUCCUUCCUUUCCUGCUCAUCACUGCACCAGCGGCUCACUCCUACCUGCUGCCGUCACACGCCUGGCAGCCUCGUGUUCCGGGGCCAGCCAAGAACUGAGACCCCCGCAGGCCCCUAGUUCCCAAAAGGCAAAUUCCCCAUUAAACUACUGCUGCCUAGCGGUGUUCUCGAGGCUUCAGAGCCGGGAAAGUGCGGAGAGCAUAGCAAGCCGCGGCGACCCCAUCUCCGGACCUGCGAUGCUCCGCGGAGGUGUCGGAACCUCGUCGCACCGCACCUCCCGCCCCAACACAAGCGACCUCUGCGCCCGCCUGUCCUGGGGACCUGGGCGCACCUCCGGCCACCGGCGACCCUGGACGGAGGCGCGGGCGCAGGGCUCGACCGGCGGCGGGCGCUGGGGCGGGCGGGGAUCCCGGCAUGGGCCCCGAGGCUUCGCGGACCCGCCCAGCCCACCUCCGUCCCCACCACCCGGAAAGCUGUAUGUAACUUUUUAAUACCAUUUUCUAGUAAAAGGAUCCAGAGCUCUUUGAAGAAAUGGCUGACACUAGGACUGAGACAGUAAAUAUAUGAGCCAGGCCAAUCUUGGAUCUUGUAUCAGAAAGUAAGGAAGUACCAAGAAAACAAAUCCACAUGAUGAAAUGAUGUCAAAAAACAGGAGCCAAUGGAAAGAGCUCUCAAUAGCCAAAGUGGGAAUGAACUUAGCAACCAAAUCUGGAUUGCUGGAUAAUAACACAAAGUUUAAAAAAUAAAAAUAAAAAAACUAUC